rnacentral:rRNA from 1 species
UACGUAGGUGGCAAGCGUUGUCCGGAUUUAUUGGGUUUAAAGGGUGCGUAGGCGGUCUAUUAAGUCAGUUGUGAAAUACGGCAGCUCAACUGUCGAGGUGCAAUUGAUACUGAUGGACUUGAGUACAGAUGAGGUAGGCGGAAUUGACGGUGUAGCGGUGAAAUGCUUAGAUAUCGUCAAGAACACCUAUAGCGAAGGCAGCUUACUAGGCUGUAACUGACGCUGAGGCACGAAAGUGUGGGGAUCAAACAGG